ensembl:lncRNA
CACUUUCUAAUCAGCCAGAGAGUGUAAUCUUCUGGCAAAGAAUUCUGUAGAUUCCACUUUUCUAAUUCAAUGAAACGCUACGAAACUUAACCAAAGCUGGGAAACAGAGAAGAAAGCUCAUGCAAGCUGUUAUAUCAAAGUGCCCCAUGUCUGCUCUCGUGUUCCUUCUGUCCCACUUCCCCAAGAAAAGGAGAGAAGCUGAUGUAGCCUUUGCUCUGUGUGAAAAUCUGGAAUGGAAUCCUCUGUUGUGUAUGGAUGUGGAAAUUCUGCUUUUUAAAGAACCUUGCCCCACCUCUUGGGUAAUCAGUAGUUCUAAUCUGGUAGCUGUAGAGCUGUCGUUCUCACACCUCUUGUGCAUCUGACGUUCCCUCAGUGCUGGAUUCAGUCCAGACGCAUCACGAGGGAAAUCGAUUCAAAGGCACAAAUGACAGCCAGGUGCCUCGUUCCCGUGGAAAAACCUUAGCUACAGGAGUCUGUGUUUUCUGUGCCCCUGUGAUCUCUGGGCUGUCCUCUUAUAGCAUUACCAUUCAGAGCUGGUGGGACACGUAAUUCUCGUCCCUGUUUUUGUCCAAGGGACACCUGCUACCUUGUUAGAUAGCGCUUGGGCUCGGUUUUGUUUUAAAAAAGCACAGGUCUGCUUUCAGCCCGUAAGUCCUGGCACACCCUCUCAGUACUGACAGCAGCAGGGUAGAAAAGUGGGGCUGUCUGAAGUUUCCCUGUGGUGGAAUCUCACUGAUCCUGUGAGGUCUUGGUCCAGGCUCCGGCCCCGGCCAUGCCAACGCAAAUAUUGUGUAAUCCCACUGGCGUCUCUGGCAGGAUCUUGGCUUUGCAGUGGUGUGAGCGAGUUCAGAUGCUGGCUCGUCUCUCUCAGAGAUCUCCUUGCUAAUCACAGGUGAUGCUUUCACUGUGAAUGGUGUGCUCAGAGUUGAGAGCCAUCUUGAAGCAUUCUUUGAAAUUCUCUUUGGCCCAAACCUUUGGAGGAGGUCUGUGGGCAGAUCAAGGCCGUGCUGCUUGCAUUCAGCUCCUCCCUACGUUUUGCCGCUGUGUCUUCUUGUAUUUGCUUUAGGCACCUGAAGCCACGCUGCUGGCAUUAGUGCCCUGUGACCCUCACGUGCCAUUGCACAGAUUCUUUUCACGUCAGAUUUGCACUCGUAUGGCAAGUGAAAAAAUGGGUACGAACCAACUGGCGCAGGGAGCUGCCAUCAUCAGCUGAGCAAGGGCUGGUCCUGCUGCCUUUGUGUGCUCAGCCUGCUUCUGUUUGCUCGGCGGCAUUGGACCGGGGAGACAAACCAUUGCUUCCAGUAGUUGUGAACUUGCAUGGCUGAGAAAUCAGAACUGGGCCAGUGAGGUACGGGGAUUUCACCCCCGUACAAUAGAACAGCUGUUAAGCCUAAAACAAAUACAGGAAAUGUGAACAUAGAGGCAAAACAAAGGAACUUGAGUUCUUUUAAAGCAGUAAAAGGCAAGAAAGCUUUGGUUUCAAGAGUCAAAAUGUCAGGGGGGAAAAGGGGGAAGGUCUCACUGGUGUGGCAGCAGCUUUGUGUUGGGCUGCGGUCCGAGGAGUACUGAUUUCAUUGACCCGUGUUGUAUUAAAUAUGUAUGUAGGGUUAAAUAAAUAACUUUUGCACAGUGUUAAAUGGGGGAGGGGGGUGGGGUGGGAAUGUUGAAACUCUGAUAUGCACAGUUUCUUCUAAUCUGUUUUGAAGUAUAUUUACAGGGAUCAGGGGUGAUUCAGUAUUUUGUAUUUGGAUGGAUGGGAAAUCAGGCCGACUUCCACAGUUGCCAUUGGCCCCGUUACGUCAGCCGAGAGUGCCAUGUUUUUGAAGUUAGUAAGUUACGAUCUUUUCCCACUCAUUUCUGUACUGGUUGUGAGUAAUCUUAGAAUGGAAGUAACCAACCCAGGGGCAGAGGGACAUCUCAGGGUGUGUGGAGCAGGAGCAGCCUAUGCCCACCCCCCGACUGGGACGUUCCACAUUUCAGGGCUCGUAUUGUGUUGGGUGUUGUUAUAAUUCUCAGCUGCUUUGCACCGCUGGGUAGUUGCAAUCUGGAGUGUAGAUCCAGUCCAGCCCUCUGUCUCAUGCCAAAAACAAACUGCUCUUUCCACACUCGUCUCUCUUGAUGUGGCAGAACAUCAAGAAGUUUUCCAUUUAAUGUGACGGGCCUGAUUCUUUUCUCGCUGACACUCGUGUAAGCAAGAGUCCCACAACAGAAAGCCAAGUCCAAGAGAAGGGCUUGUACUUCAUCGUGUCCGAAUCCAAGUCGUAGCAGGGCAAAAACCAAAGUUUGUCCUUUGCAAAGCCAGGCAACUGUAAUGGGGACUGUGGAAAUGCAGGGUGGCACUUUGGUGCAGCUCUGGGGAGGACAGGGAGCGAGGGCUGCGCGGCCCCGAGCCCACACUGAGUGCAGAACUGCUGCAGGAGUGUCACAGCUUCGGGUUGGAAAAGCCCCUCAUUUGGUACUUGAACAAUCUCUCUUCUGUUCUUGAAUGUCUCGUUUAUUUUUUCUUUUUGUUACACUAACAGGGAAUAAAAAGCUGAAAUGUUAGUGAGUCUCGUAUGUUUGCUGCACUGUGCAGACAUAAAACAGGUACUGCUUGUGGGGCGGGAGGGGUGUGAGGCAGGUUCAAAAUGCAGCUUGACGAAGCAUUAGGAUGGGUCAGGGGUUGUUUUGUUCGGAUCAUCUUUCAAAUCAGACUUUUGUAUGCAUAGGUUCCUUCUGUUAAUUUGCAACAUCUGCUUUUGGACCAGCAAAGUUAAAAUGCGUUCCCGAAGAACGAAGCAGGGAGGGGAGCGGGUUACGCUUACUGCAGUGUAGCACGCAAACAGCCCCCAAGUAGCUUUAUAAAGGGGAAGGGUCUGCAUCCCGAAGCUGUCCAGGUUGUGGCGUGGCGGAGCAGCGGCAGGUGCUGGUGUGGGAGCUCUGUCUUCAACCGCGGAAGAAAGAGGGGAUGCAGAGCAGAGCCACUCCCACAGCGCAGGCCGAAAGCUUGGGGUUCUUUGUUGUCCUCCGUGUGCACUGCAAGAAGCAGUCAGGAAAUUAAUAGAAGUUAUGAAGGACUGCUCCUCCAUUCUGGAAGGAAACGCGGCCGCUGAUCCCUGGUUUCCUUUGGCACAGCUCGUGCUGCCAGGAGCGGGGAGCGGAGCUGCUGGGCCGGAGGAAGGCUGGCCGUACAGCUGGGCCAGCCGAGUGCUGUGCGAGGAGCUCGUUGUGCCGGGGUGAGGGGAAGUUUGGCCAACAUUUUUGUGAAUCCCGCAUUCUGUGGGCAGAAAUAUUUUCCACCCAACGGGAAGGGAAAAAAAAUUUCUUUUGAAAUCUUUUCAAUUCCUUCCUGUUUGUUCACAGGGGCGGAUAGCACCGUGCGCUGCUCACAUGGCGGCGGUGCUCCAGGUGCGCUCGCUGGGGCUGCCUCCAUACAACUGGUGCAGAAUUUGCAGGGUUUUUUGCUAUUGGCACAGAGUCGCCCUACUGUAUGACAGCAUUUGUUCAAGCAUUUGCCUUUAAAAUACAUCACGUGAGCUUCAGAGGAAAAAUUAAACUCCCGAGGAAGAAUCGGUGUUAGACAAAGCAGCUUUGAUGUGACCCUUCCCCAACGUCGGUUCCGUAUCGCUUCCGUAGGGCUGGCGGUGCUCACCCUGCAGCAGGCCAGGGAAGGGGCUUUGGGAUCGUUUGGGUACAGAGGAUCAUGUCCAGUGAUGGGAACGCCAGGGGCGGCCAUCAGCCUGGUGCCAGGCCGUGACUUUGGGCCCGCAGGGCUUGGCUGCAGUGCGGCUGUGUGGAUGGGUUUGGGGCUGGGUUGUGUUCCUGAGCGCCGGGCAGAGAGGUUUGGCUAAACCUGUUAAUUUUGUAUAUCUGGCUGUUAAUUGCACCACGGGAUUGUAAUGGUCUGCAUCAUCUGUGUGUGUGCGUGUGCGUGCGCGUGCGUGUGUAUCUGUACUGUAUGUAUAUAGAUAUAUGUAAAAUAUAUUCCCAUACACAUUUAUAUGCGUUAGCUGUAAGUGGCACCGCCCCUUGGAAACUAAAGCAGAGCUCACCGCUUGCGCACCCUGCUUGGGCAAAGCUGGGCUUAUUUCCAUAGCUGACAGGAGCCGGUCCUGACCACCUCCAAGCCGUGCUUCUGAAAUCCUGCAGGAGGGGUUUCCUGGGGGGCGUUCCUCUGUUUGUAAGCCGAAUUCGGUGUGGGUUCCGGUUGUGUCCUGUGGGACGCGGCACUGAAACGCACCGAAAGCAAAGGUUUGGGGAAGGAAACCUCCAUGAGGGGCACCGCGCUCUGCGUGUGGGGUGUGGGGCUGCAGCAGCAGCACUCCUCGGUACAGCCUUUGCUUCACUCCUUUUUCAUUAUUAUUUGACUUCGAUUUUCUUUAAGGGAAACCGCCUCUGUUCGGAACCUGCUUCCCAACGAGCUGUCCGCUUAUUUUCUUUCCGUAUGGAUUCCAGCAUGUAACUUUGGUACUCUCGUUUGUUCUUUGUGUAAAACCUGUUCUGCUGUCGUUUAUGGUGUAGUC